ACUUAUUAGUACAUUGUUUGUAUUAUUAAUAUGUUGUUCAUGAAUUGAUCUAUGGUAUACUUAUAAUGGUUUAAGAUGAUUAUUUCGUCUCAUAUUGUUAAUGUUAUUACUAUCCAUGAAGUGUACCUGCUUUUAUAUUCAAUAUAUAUGUAUAUAUUUUCUAUUUAUAUUUGUUAUGAAAGUAGAUUGUAAUAUUAUGUUAUACGAUUCAUCCGCCUACUGUGUAACGCCUCCAGUAACACGCCUAUAUUGCAUCCUUAGAGGUGGUGAGGAAAAACAAUAAAUAUGCAAUACAUGUUCACAUACAAGUUGUUAAACCAUGGAUAAAAUGAUUGAAAAUUCAUUACUAAACAGAUGACAAGAAAAAAACGAACUACCAUUAAGAAUCCUUCAUAAAUGAAUUGCGACAUCAGUGGAUUAGUUGUAGGAUCAGAUUUUUUAGUGACUUUUACGUGUGUUUCUAAUCUUUAUUUAAAGAGAUUUUAAGAAAGAUCGGGUAUUUUGUCGAAGAGUAUUGUUUUGCUUAGCAGUACCAAUUGUCAACGUAUAUACAAGUACAUAUUUUGGUUAGAAUUUCCAGCAAAUGUUAUGUAAUCUUCGACUUUCGAACAAAUAAUCAAUAGACAUUUGUUUAUUGAGUAUAUAGAAAAUAAGUAAUGUUCAUGUGUGGGUUAUUUAAAACUUGUAAGUGUUUUGAUAUAUCAUAAUAUUUUAUAAAGUUAAUUUUGAAAAUCAUUUGUGAUUAAAAUAAAGAUGUACAUAUAUUUAGACCGCAUAUAGGAUAUCUAGUUUGUUAAAACUAAUAUAAAUUAUGUAUAUUGUUAUGUUAAAAUGGAAACCGAAAAAUACCAAAGAAAUGCAAAUCUCCAAACUCAUUUCUUUCCUUAGUGGCACCACUGUCAAAUGUUAUAAAAAAUGUGGACUUUGAAUUGCGACAUCAGUGGAUUAUUUGUGAAAUCAGAUAUUUUGGUGACUUUUACAUACAUGUUCACAAACAAGCUGUUAAACCAUGGAGAAAGCUCACGAGCUUGUGGUUUUCUUGGCAGCAUUGAAAAUUCAUUACUGAACAGAUGACACGCAAACAACGAAUUACCAUUAAGAAUCCCGCAGAAAUGAAUUGCGAAAUCAGUGGGUUAUUUGUAGGAUCAGAUUUUUUAGUGACUUUUACGUGUUUUUCUAAUCUUUAUUUAAAGAGAUUUUAAGAAAGAGCGGGUAUUUUGUCGCAGAGUAUUGUUUUGCUUAGCAGUACCAAUUGUCAACGUAUAUACAAGUACAUAUUUUGGUUAGAAUUCCCAGCAAAUGUUAUGUAAUCUUCGACUUUCGAACAAAUAAUCAAAAGACAUUUGUUUAUUAAGUAUAUAAAAAAUAAGUAAUGUUCAUGUGUGGGUUAUUUAAAACUUGUAAGUGUUUUGAUAUAUCAUAAUAUUUUAUAAAGUUAAUUUUGAAAAUCAUUUGUGAUUAAAAUAAACAUGUACAUAUAUUUAGA